GAUGAAGAACGUAGCGAAAUGCGAUACGUAAUGUGAAUUGCAGAAUUCAGUGAAUCAUCGAAUCUUUGAACGCAUAUUGCGCUCUCUGGUAUUCCGGAGAGCAUGCUUGUUUGAGUAUCAGUAAACACCUCAACUUCCAUAUCUUUUUUGAAAUGGGAGUCGGACUUGAGUGAUCCCAACGCUUUUCCUCACCGAAAAGUGGCGGGUUACUUGAAAUGCAGGUGCAGCUGGACUUUUCUCUGAGCUAUAAGCAUAUCUAUUUAGUCUGCCUAAAAAACAGAUUAUUACCUUUGCUGCAGCUAACAUAAAGGAGAUUAGUUCUUGUGCUGACUGAUGCAGGAUUCACAAAGACAGGCUUCGGCCGACUUUGUAAACUCGAUCUCAAAUCAAGUAAGACUACCCGCUGAACUUAAGCAUAUCAAUAAGCGGAGGA
rnacentral:misc_RNA from 1 species